rnacentral:rRNA from 1 species
GACGAACGCUGGCGGCGUGCUUAACACAUGCAAGUCGAACGGAAAGGCCCUGCUUUUGUGGGGUGCUCGAGUGGCGAACGGGUGAGUAACACGUGAGUAACCUGCCCUUGACUUUGGGAUAACUUCAGGAAACUAGGGCUAAUACCGGAUAGGAGCUCCUGCUGCAUGGUGGGGGUUGGAAAGUUUCGGCGGUUGGGGAUGGACUCGCGGCUUAUCAGCUUGUUGGUGGGGUAGUGGCUUACCAAGGCUUUGACGGGUAGCCGGCCUGAGAGGGUGACCGGCCACAUUGGGACUGGGAUACGGCCCAGACUCCUACGGGAGGCAGCAGUGGGGAAUAUUGCACAAUGGGCGGAAGCCUGAUGCAGCAACGCCGCGUGCGGGAUGACGGCCUUCGGGUUGUAAACCGCUUUCGCCUGUGACGAAGCGUGAGUGACGGUAAUGGGUAAAGAAGCACCGGCUAACUACGU